CCCUUGGCCAGCGAGUAGAGGUUCGAGACCGAGAGCGCCAUCGGAUGGUCCUGCGGCACGCCCACGGUGGCGGCCUCGGAACAAAAGGUGCCGUACAGGUCGUCGGCUUGCUUUUCGGCAUGGCGCCACCCGGGUCCUAGCGGCUCCUUUGGUGCCGGCGGAGCCGCGGGGGUGCGCGGCGGCCCGUAAGCCUUGCGCAAGGACUGUCGCAGCGGCUCGGGCAUGCUUUUGAUGCCGUCGCGCACCAUCUCGUCGAUGCGCGCCUGCUCUUCGGGGUCAACCAUGGGCGUGCCGACGGUGCCGUUGUUGUCGUCGCCAUCGAGAUCCCCGUCGACGGCUUCUUGAAGGUCGUCGGGAUCAAACUGGGUUUCGGAUGCCUCGUCUCCGGCCCCAUCUGCGGCCAUGUCAGAAGCCGCCUCGUCGUCGCUGUCGCCCUUUUUCACGGGCGUCUUCUUGGCGCGCGGUGCGGGCGGCGCCGAGCACUCUUCGACAAAGGCGUCCCAAUGCGUCUCGACGAGACCCAUAAUGGGCUUGUAGGCGCGCGGACUGGCGCCGUCCUUUUUGGCGACAUAGAUAAACAUGGCCUCCAUCCACGCAGGCAUCUUUUUCGGG
rnacentral:lncRNA from 1 species